GCCCCGUUAGCUCAGUCGGUAGAGCAUCAGACUUUUAAUCUGAGGGUCGCGGGUUCGAGUCCCUCAUCGGGCG
rnacentral:tRNA from 1 species